CGCGUAGGCGGGAUGGCAAGUCGGUCGUGAAAUCCUUCGGCUCAACCGAAGAACGUCGGCCGAAACUGCCAUUCUUGAGGGAUGCAGAGGAGACUGGAAUUCCCGGUGUAGCGGUGAAAUGUGUAGAGAUCGGGAGGAACACCGGUGGCGAAGGCGGGUCUCUGGGCAUCUCCUGACGCUGAGGCGCGAAAGCGUGGGGAGCAAACGGGAUUAGAUACCCCGGUAGUCCACGCUGUAAACGAUGACGACUAGGUGUGGGGUGGUUCAGUCCACUCCGUGCCGCAGCUAACGCAUUAAGUCGUCCGCCUGGGGAGUACGGCCGCAAGGUUGAA
rnacentral:rRNA from 1 species